AGCUAACGCGUUAAACAGGGCGCCUGGGGAUUACGGCCGCAAGGCUAAAACUCAAAGGAAUUGACGGGGACCCGCACAAGCAGUGGAGCGCCUGGUUUAAUUCGAUGAUCAGCGAAGAACCUCACCUGGGCUUGAACUAUAGCUGCAUCCCGGCAGAAACGCCGGGAGCCUUCGAGGGUGCUAUAGAGGUGCUGCAUGGCUGUCGUCAGCUCGUGCCGUGAGAUGUAGGGUUAAGUCCCACAACGAGCGCAACCCCUAUUCUGUAUUACAAUUAUUCAGAAGACUGCCUCGCCACAACGAGGAGGAAGGAGGGGACGACGUCCAGUCAUCAUAUCCCUUAUGUCCAGGGCUACACAGACGCUACAAUGGCUACUACAACGGGUUGCCAAGCCGCAAGGCGGAGCCAAUCCCAUCAAAAGUAGCCUCAGUUCAGAUUGCAGGCUGCAACUCGCCUGCAUGAAGCCGGAAUUGCUAGUAAUCGCGUAUCAGCACGGCGCGGUGAAUACGUUCUCGGGUCUUGACACACCGCCCAUCAGGGCACGGGAGUUGCUCUUGCUCAAAGUCUCACUUUAUGUGGGCCAA
rnacentral:rRNA from 1 species